rnacentral:rRNA from 1 species
UACGAAGGUCCCAAGCGUUAUCCGGAUUUAUUGGGUUUAAAGGGUGCGUAGGCGGGUUAUUAAGUCAGUGGUGAAAGCCUUCAGCUUAACUGAAGAAUUGCCAUUGAUACUGAUGAUCUUGAGUAUGAUUGAGGUUGGCGGAAUGUGUCAUGUAGCGGUGAAAUGCUUAGACAUGACACAGAACACCGAUUGCGAAGGCAGCUAACUAAGUCAUAACUGACGCUGAUGCACGAAAGCGUGGGGAGCAAACAGG